rnacentral:lncRNA from 1 species
UUAAUCCCUAAUCAUUACCGCUAUUAUAUUGCCUAGUUCCUAACCUAUGCUCACACCUAAGAGGCUAAGACUAAGAACAAAACAUGUUCCAUCGAGCAAACUCUUGCCUACCAUUGCAAAUAAAUGAACUAAUCUUAACAAAAACUAUUUCUAUUGUAAUUCUACUCAUACAGUUAUGCCCACUUUUCUCUAUUGCAACAAAGUUUCUAACUGUUUUAAGAGAAUAUACUCAUUUCUAAAGACCCCUUAUAUAUAUUCCCACAU